UCUUAGGAAUGAAUAAAGAAAGCAGUAUCUUGAGAUGGAAUCUACUCCUGGUGAAGAUGCUGUGAA
rnacentral:pre_miRNA from 1 species